AUCGAAGCCAAACUCUGAGUGCUGUUGUGGCAAACGGAAGAGAAGCAAGUGGUUCCGCAACACCUAGAAAUGAGAUGAACAGUGAGAAGGAGUGUGCAGUGUUGUACCUGUGCAGCAGCAUCCUGUGAGAAGAUGAAGGAGUUGACGUGAGACAAGGCAACCACAUACAAGACAGGACACCAGCGAGGCUUCAGGGUCCCCGUUACCAAAGAGCGGAAGUACAGAUGGAGGAGAGGGAGGGAGUCUUCAGGGGGAGACGUGAACCGCUCAAUAGGGAUGGAGAGCUUCACAUGAGGAGAUAGAGAUAAUAAAUGAAUCCAAUAUGAUAUAUGAUCAAAGAAUACUUGUGUGGGGAAAGUAAGAGGCUAAACCUCCUCAUUAUUACCUGGUCCAAGGUGACUCCCAGUGACCUCAGCAUCCCCACAUGUUCUCCAAACACAGCCAGCUUCAUGGUGGUGUUGUACCUCCGCUGCAGGGGUAAGAGGACCCAGCAGCCAAACAGCCGGUCUCCAAAGGACACCGCUUCAUACUGGCUCAAAAGAGCCGAGUACAAGUCCUGGAACGAGGCUAGACCUGGAGGAGGGACAUUCAGGUCCAACGAGUCCAGCCUGGAUCUCCUGUAAAUGGAAGAGUUUAAUUGGAGUUUAGCCGUCAGCUUUCUCUGUGCUCAGUUUAGAUUUUUUUUCUGUAGUAAUAAAAGAAUAUAAAAUAUUGUCAGACCUGGUCAGCAGUCUGAACAGACCCCAGGUCAGUUUCUGAACAGGUCUCUCCAGGAAUAAGUCACUGGAACACAGGAACACACAGGACAAGCGGGCGAGCUUGGCGAUGGGCAGGAUCACCUACAACAUGACAAAAUAUUCAGGUCGUUAAUUACAAUUAAAAUAAUGUAAUAUUUCCAGACAGAGACACACUAGAGGAGAAGUGUGACCACAAGAGGAUCCAACAAUAACACUUAGAAUUUAUUUUUUAUAGAUAUACUGUUAUUAGGGCAACAAUCUACAAUUACUUUCAUUAUUCAUUAGUCUGCUGAUAAUAUUACCCAAGGCGGUAAUUGGUGUGGGCUGAUCUGGGUUUAAGUAAGGGGAGUUUUUUCUUAUCUAAAUCACAGGUCUGAAGGUAGAGGGUGUUGUAUUCUGUACAGACUGUAAAGCCCGUUGAUGCAAUCUUGUGCUAAAAAAUUCACCUGCCCUGACUUGUUUUUGUACCUUUAGUGCGUCCUCCCUCCAGACCUCCAGCAGCAGCAGCCACUGCAGACAGUGGGUCACCACCUGCAGAGCCCCCUGUGGGAGCUCCUCCACCGCUAACCCGCCACCGUCAGACACCCCUGUUCGUUCAUACAGGCUGACGAGCGGAAGGAAAGGCCAGUCGGACGGCAAGGUGGGACCAGUGAGCUCUGGGAGGAGAUGGGAGUUGAUCCAUGGGUUGCGGCCGAGGAGAGCGUCUCGGGACGUCAGCACGGAUGGCUCCAGGUGGGCCAGGUGAGUGAGGAAGCAGCCUCGUAUGGAUGGUAGCUGGACACAGGCUUCUCUCAGGAGGGCUCCGACGGUCUGGAGAGAGGGAGAGGUUUGGUGCUGUGUUUGCUCUUGGAGUUUCAGCUCUCCCAGCUCUACAGCCUCAGGUCCUCCACUGUGGCCCUCUCUGGAAAGCAAACACAUAAACUGAGUAAUAAUAGAGGAAGCAAAGAAUGUGGAACAUUACUUUUGGUGGAAACAGAUCAUUGCUUGAUUUGAUCCAGUUCCAAAGGAAGGUACAUUUGAAGAAAAUAUACAUCAUCGACCCCAUUUUUCAAGCACUAAUCUAAACUAUUAUUAUCAGAUAGAAUGUAUUAUAUGCAAUCAACAAAACAACAAAAAUAAAAAGCUCUUUAGGUUGACUGCAUUUGCUCUUACUGGCAAUUAAUCACAAAUAAAGCUUAAGUUAAACUUACGAUAUAAAGUCCUUGCUGAAGAUGAUGGUGGACAACAGUUCAUGUGCCAGGUACUCACUCCCAGGCAAUAACCAUGGCAGCAGAACCAGCGCCACCUGGUGGUACAGUGAGGCAUGCUUGGCCACUUGUGGCUCAAUGGUAACCUGAGAUGAAACAAAAAAAAGAGUAAAGUAGACGCAGCUUGAUGACAAAUGUAUGUAAAGCAGCAAAUAACACUCAAGAGGACAAAUAAUUAAAUCAGUUUAUCUCAGAUUAAAACUAAAUUUAUCCACACACUGUCAAAAGAUCAGACAGGAAGGAAAUCACAAUGACCUGCACCUACUGAUACUCCUUCCAUACAAAACUAUACAUCUGUUGGUUUAAAAAUACAAUUAAGCACAGAACAGGAUGCAUUAUGAGGCAUUAGUUAGGAACAGAACAUAAUGUUGCUGAAUGAAACAAAGCCUGAACUGCAUGUUUCAGGUCAACAGAAUAUUGUUUAUGGGGGUCUGAUUGAUGUUCCAGCCUACAAGUCUGUGUGCCAGCCGGAGCAGCAGGUAGAGGAGGUGGUGUUCGUGACGGAGAAGCCAGGCUCUGGUGUGAGACAAGGUGGGCGUAGCCUGACUGCAGCUUCGCAGGUAACCAAUCACAGGUUCUGACAGGAGGAGGCCAGUGAACUACAGAGUGGGAGUCAAACACAGAAAAGGCAAAAUGUGAGAUAAUAUAUAUAGGAUUCUGUGUAUGUCACCACGAGAUGGCAGCAAAAUAAAUCCAGCUGUGAUCCUAGCUCAGUGAUAGUCUAAGUAGUUCAUAUUUGGCUGAAGAGGUACUUGGCAGUUAAAAGAUGUAAUGAGAAAACCUGCAGACUCUAUAUCCCGUUAUUGUCUGUUCCUGUCCUCAAAGGACAUAAAAUACUCCCAGAAAAAGUCUUUAGUGAGACCUACCUUGCUGCUGAGGCCUUUGUGGAUGCCAGUGAUUGUUUCCAGGAGGAGCCCCAAGCCUGUGAGAAGAGGGAAGGGAGAACUGGGAACAACCAGUCCCAGAUGGUCCCUCCAUGCUGGGCAGGCCAAACCAGGGAGGCUGGGAGUGGUCUCUGGGCCUGGAUGACUAGACUGGAUAUUACACACUACUGAGGAAGACCUGGUGGGAAAAAAACAUUUAUCAGUAACAGAAAACAUUGUGCUGCUGAUGAAGGUCAAUACAAAAUUGUAUAAGCAAAACAAAGGCAACUGUCAUCUGUAUCAGACUUACUUUAGGUUCUUUAUCAGGCCUUGAACAACAUGGUGGGACAGCAGGGGGAGGAGAACCUCAGACGUCAGCAGCUCCAGUUCUUGAAGCGUCUCGACUGGUUUGAAACAGUUCUGAGGACGAGAGUCUUGUUAUUGUAAUUUAGUUCAACAAAUUGUUUGCAUAUUAAAGCCACUCUCCUGUUACAUUUUGUUGAUGUACAGCCUAAACUCAGUUUUUCAAAUGUGGCUUUGUAAGGAGGCUGAUACACAGUUACCUCCUCACAUACAGGAAAAGAAGCACCUGGCAGGAAGCAGUACCUGUCUGGAGAGCUGAUGGUAGUAAGCUCCGAGGUAGGUCAGGUAAGCUGGUAUCACAGCCAGGCUGCUCUCUUUAUGAGCUGGAUUAUCAAGGCUCUUCACAAAGCCCUUCAAAUGCCCCAACAGGGAUGCCUGCAACCCUGCGACAUGACCCCAGGACACUGUAGGAGGAGGAGGGCACUCUUCUCCCUGAGAACUGAGGGGGUAAUGUGUAGGUUAAGAAGGAUUCAGUUGUGUUGUGUGAUGCUUCGUGUAGCAGCAGGGUUUUUCUAAAAACACUUUAAUCCUCAUCUUUACCUGACCAUGCCAGCCUGUAGCUCCUGGUGGCAGCCAGCAGUGUGUGUGACCUGUGUUAGCAGAGAAAGAAGAGCCAGGACCCGCUGGAGCUGCAGGGGCAGCAGAGGAUCUGAGGGGGCCAGGACUCUGUGAACUGACUGUAAGGCCUUCGCUAAGCCUGGAUACAGGUCUCUGUGGGGAAAUAAAGACAGGAUUGUGAUAAAGCACUGUGAGAGAAGAGAGGAGAGGAUUACACCGCCCUUAUUUUUCGAUGCCUGUCCGUAGCCGACUGCUACAGCCCACAGCCUGUAAGCCUCAGUGGAGAUCCUGAGGGCCUCGGUCGGUUCCAGCAGCAGCUCACCGGGCUCAGCACUCAGCAGACAACACAGACGCUCCCUCA